GACGAACGCUGGCGGCGUGCUUAACACAUGCAAGUCGAACGAUGAAGAAGAGAAACGCGAACUUCGGUUCAAAUUUCACUUCGGAUUAGUGGCAGACGGGUGAGUAACGCGUGAGCAACCUACCUCUUACAAAGGGAUAGCCUCGGGAAACCGUGAUUAAUACCAUAUGACACAUUCAUAAGGCAUCUUAAGAAUGUUAAAGCUACGGCGGUAAGAGAUGGGCUCGCGUCCCAUUAGCUAGUUGGUGAGGUAACGGCCCACCAAGGCGACGAUGGGUAACCGGCCUGAGAGGGUGAACGGUCACAUUGGAACUGAGACACGGUCCAAACUCCUACGGGAGGCAGCAGUGGGGAAUAGUGCACAAUGGAGGGAACUCUGAUGCAGCGACGACGCGUGAGCGAUGAAGGAAUUCGUUUCGUAAAGCUCUGUUCUAUGGGAAGAAAAGGACUGUACCAUAGGAGAAAGCCCCGGCUAAAUACGUG
rnacentral:rRNA from 1 species